rnacentral:snRNA from 1 species
GAAUGAGAGCACAAUCUGGCUGUGAUGUCUGCCACCCCAUUGAUGGAGCUGAUUCAGCUGAUCUGGCUGAGUAGGCCAGUGUCUCCUUUCCCCUUCACUACGCUGUCUGCACCCUCCAGAAGCUGCAUGCUAAGCCAUAAAGGGUACUAUUCCCCAAUGAGUAGCUGUGCCCCCCCACCACAGAACCUCCAAACAAACCCCCAAGGAAGCAGAGCCCUGUAGAGCUCCAUGGCUUAUGUCUCCUUGACUGCAGCAAGGGAAGUUGGU